rnacentral:lncRNA from 8 species
CCUGUGUGUGUUCGUUCACCUGCGUGUGUUCAUUCACCUGUGUGUAUUCACCUGUGUGUUCACCUGUGUGUUCACCUGUGUGUGUUCACCUGUGUGUGUUCACCUGUGUGUGUUCACCUGUGUGUAUUCACCUGUGUGUGUUCACCUGUGUGUAUUCACCUGUGUUCGUUCACCUGUGUGUAUUCACCUGUAUGUAUUCACCUGUGUGUUCACCUGUGUGUGUUCACGUGUGUGUAUUCACCUGUGUGUUCACCUGUGUGUGUUCGUUCACCUGUGUGUGUUCGUUCACCUGUGUGUGUUCACCUGUAUGUAUUCACCUGUGUGUUCACCUGUGUGUGUUCGUUCACCUGUGUGUGUUCGUUCACCUGUGUGUAUUCGUUCACCUGUGUGUGUUCGUUCACCUGUGUUCGUUCACCUGUGUGUUCACCUGUGUGUUCACCUGUGUGUAUUCAACUGUGUGUGUUCACCUGUGUGUGUUCACCUGUGUGUGUUCGUUCACCUGUGUAUGUUCACCUGUAUGUAUUCACCUGUGUGUAUUCACCGGUGUGUAUUCACCUGUAUGUGUUCAUCUGUGUGUAUUCACCUGUGUGUGUUCACCUGUGUGUAUUCACCUGUGUGUGUUCACCUGUGUGUAUUCACCUGUGUGUAUUCACCUGUGUGUGUUCACCUGUGUGUGUUCACCUGUGUGUGUGUUCACCUGUGUGUGUUCGUUCACCUGUGUGUAUUCAUCUGUAUGUAUUCACCUGUGUGUGUUCACCUGUGUGUGUUCACCUGUGUGUGUUCACAUGUGUGUGUUCACCUGUGUGUGUUCACCUGUGUGUGUUCACCUGUGUGUAUUCACCUGUGUGUAUUCACCUGUGUGUAUUCACUUGUGUGUGUUCACGUGUGUGUAUUCACCUGUGUGUAUUCACGUGUGUGUGUAUUCACGUGUGUGUGUAUUCACCUGUGUGUAUUCACCUGUGUGUAUUCACCUGUAUGUAUUCACCUGUAUGUUCACCUGUGUGUGUUCACAUGUGUGUGUUCACCUGUGUGUGUUCACAUGUGUGUGUUCACCUGUGUGUGUUCACCUGUGUGUAUUCACCUGUAUGUAUUCACCUGUAUGUAUUCACCUGUAUGUUCACCUGUGUGUGUUCACCUGUGUGUAUUCACCUGUGUGUGUUCA